GAGUUUGAUCCUGGCUCAGAUUGAACGCUGGCGGAAUGCUUUACACAUGCAAGUCGAGCGGCAGCGCGGGGCAACCUGGCGGCGAGCGGCGAACGGGUGAGUAAUGCAUCGGAACAUGUCCAUGUCGUGGGGGAUAGCCCGGCGAAAGCCGGAUUAAUACCGCAUACGCCCGAGAGGGGAAAGUGGGGGACCGCAAGGCCUCACGCGAUUGGGUUGGCCGAUGUCCGAUUAGCUAGUUGGCGGGGUAAUGGCCCACCAAGGCGAUGAUCGGUAGCUGGUCUGAGAGGAUGAUCAGCCACACUGGGACUGAGACACGGCCCAGACUCCUACGGGAGGCAGCAGUGGGGAAUUUUGGACAAUGGGGGCAACCCUGAUCCAGCCAUUCCGCGUGAGUGAAGAAGGCCUUCGGUUG
rnacentral:rRNA from 1 species